CGUAGUUAGCCGUGACUUAUUCCUGGGGUACCGUCCUUCCUCUUCCCCCAGAAAAGGAGUUUACGACCCAAGGGCCUUCAUCCUCCACGCGGCGUUGCUGCAUCAGGGUUGCCCCCAUUGUGCAAUAUUCCUC
rnacentral:rRNA from 1 species